rnacentral:rRNA from 1 species
UGGGGAAUAUUGCACAAUGGGCGCAAGCCUGAUGCAGCCAUGCCGCGUGUGUGAAGAAGGCCUUCGGGUUGUAAAGCACUUUCAGCGAGGAGGAAGGUGGUGAACUUAAUACGUUCAUCAAUUGACGUUACUCGCAGAAGAAGCACCGGCUAACUCCGUGCCAGCAGCCGCGGUAAUACGGAGGGUGCAAGCGUUAAUCGGAAUUACUGGGCGUAAAGCGCACGCAGGCGGUUUGUUAAGUCAGAUGUGAAAUCCCCGGGCUCAACCUGGGAACUGCAUUUGAAACUGGCAAGCUAGAGUCUCGUAGAGGGGGGUAGAAUUCCAGGUGUAGCGGUGAAAUGCGUAGAGAUCUGGAGGAAUACCGGUGGCGAAGGCGGCCCCCUGGACGAAGACUGACGCUCAGGUGCGAAAAGCGUGGGGAGCAAAACAGGAUUAGAUACCCUGGUAGUCCACGCUGUAAAACGAUGUCGAUUUGGAGGUUGUGCCCUUGAGGCGUGGCUUCCGGAGCU